rnacentral:rRNA from 1 species
AUACGGAGGGUGCGAGCGUUAUCCGGAUUUAUUAGGUUUAAAGGGUGUGUAGGCGGGAGCCUAAGUCAGUGGUGAAAUCUCACAGCUUAACUGUGAAACUGCCAUUGAAACUGGGUUUCUUGAGUAUAGUUGAGGUAGGCGGAAUGUGUAAUGUAGCGGUGAAAUGCAUAGAUAUUACACAGAACACCGAUUGCGAAGGCAGCUUACUAAGCUAUUACUGACGCUGAUGCACGAAAGCGUGGGUAGCGAACAGAAUUAGAAACCCCAGUAGUCC